UACAGAGGUCCCGAGCGUUGUUCGGAUUCAUUGGGCGUAAAGGGUGCGUAGGCGGUUAGGUAAGUCAGAUGCGAAAUUCCAGGGCUCAACCUUGGAACUGCAUUUGAUACUGCCUGACUAGAGUACUGGAGAGGAGACUGGAGUUCACGGUGUAGCAGUGAAAUGCGUAGAUAUCGUGAGGAAGACCAGUGGCGAAGGCGAGUCUCUGGACAGUUACUGACGCUGAUGCACGAAGGCUAGGGGAGCAAACGGG
rnacentral:rRNA from 1 species